GCGAUUUAAGAGCCUCGGAAAUUUCCUUUAAGGGCAUUCAAGCAGCCCUGAGGAGAGGUCCACAUGGUGAGCCACUGAGGGCCUUGCCAAGAGCCAGCACCAACGGUCCAGGUUUGGAGUGUACCACCUUGGAAGUGAAUCUUCCAGUCCAGUCAAGCCUUCAGAUGACUUCAGAACCGUCCAUGUAAGCCACUCUUGGAUUCCUGACCCACAGAAACUGUUGGAGUAAGUGAUGUUUCUGAAGCACCAAUGAAAAUGAAGUCCUGAAGUCCUGUGCUCAAUAUGAAAUGUUGGAAGUUAGAAGAAAAAAACAAAACUUGGAUCCAAU
rnacentral:lncRNA from 1 species